rnacentral:tRNA from 2 species
GACUCCGUAGCUCAGCAGGAUAGAGCGGCUGCCUCCUAAGCAGCAGGUCGCGCGUUCGAAUCGCGCCGGGGUCA